rnacentral:rRNA from 1 species
UUAAACUAGGAUUAGAUACCCUAUUAUUAAUAAUAAAUAUAUUGGUAGUAUGUAGAAUAUGUGAAAUCAAAAGAUUUUGGCGGUAUUUUAAGCUUCUUAGAGGAAUUUGCUCUGUAAUUGAUAUGACACCUAUAUCUUACUUAGAUUGGUUAAGGCAGUUUGUAUAUCGCUAUUUUUAUAACUAUAUUAAAUGAUGAUAGUUGAGAUGAAUUUUUUUCUGGAUUUUAGGUCAAGAUGCAAUAUAAAUUUAAGGUUGAAGUGAAUUAUGAUAAUUUUUAUUAGAUGAAAAAUGAAAAGAAAUUAAGAUUUAAAAGUAAAAUGGUAUUAUAAUGACUAUUUGAAUAGAGCUCUAAAAUAUGUACAUAUCGCCCGUCACUCUUUAAUG